UCACCUGCACCGGGGGAGGACCAACAAACACACAACGUUUUGCCUCUGUGCCACUCGACAUUGCAUAAUCGGCUGGCCACAGGACAGUAGACCUGUGAGACCAUCCAGAUGCUCAACCUCGAGUUUCGCAAUGACUAUCAGUCAUUCGGCCGGGACGCCAUUCGUCAGCCAAUCCGAUAAGAUAGCGGAUACGCUAGAGAUCGAUGCGAUCGACUGACAUAAACCUGGUGAGCUGAAGGUGAACCGAGAGGGUGCGUUCUGAAGGGGGCCUCACCCAGUCCAGCAGCAGGGGCGCCUUCUCCCCGACCCACAGGACGAGGCGGUUGGUGUUCUCGGCGAUGAGGACCGCCGCGGCCUUGGCCUUCUCCAGGCCCUGCUCCAUCAGGGGCCCCAGCACACGCACGCUCUCAGAGUAGUAGAAGGGCAUGUUCGUCUCCAGCCAGCUGAUACAACACACAAACGCACGCAUGCAUUACGUUUUGUGAUGAUGAUGAUGAUGAUGGACUUUUGUUUUAUAUUACCUAACUUGUUGAUAAAUGUUGAGCAUUAUGACAGAUCCCAGUGUGCUCAUUAUAUUCAAAUAGGAUCAAUAUAUAUGAUAAAUAUAAUUGACAUAAUGCAUCUUUGUGGUUGGGUUAACACAGUGAAAAUGCAUAUCAAAUAUGUAUAUCCGGUGUUUACCUGAAGCCCUGUUUGGUAUAGACGGUCACCUUGCCCCAUGCCUGCUGCGACACACCAGCCACCCCAGAGCUGUGUAAAUACCGCGCCGUCGUGGAGUCUUUGAAAAAAAAAAAUCA